rnacentral:rRNA from 1 species
GGCGCACGGGUGCGUAACACGUGGGUAAUCUGCCCUGGAGUCCGGAAUAACUCGCCGAAAGGCGUGCUAAUGCCGGCUAAGACCACGGGAACUUCGGUUCCUGCGGGAAAAGGUGGCCUCUGUACACAAGCUAUCGCUUCAGGAUGAGCCCGCGGCCCAUCAGCUAGUUGGCGGGGUAAUGGCCCACCAAGGCUACGACGGGUAGCUGGUCUAAGAGGACGAUCAGCCACACUGGAACUGAGACACGGUCCAGACUCCUACGGGAGGCAGCAGUGGGGAAUCUUGCGCAAUGGGCGAAAGCCUGACGCAGCAACGCCGCGUGUGUGAUGAAGGUCUUCGGAUCGUAAAGCACUGUCGGG